rnacentral:rRNA from 1 species
AACGAACGCUGGCGGCAUGCCUAACACAUGCAAGUCGAACGAGACCUUCGGGUCUAGUGGCGCACGGGUGCGUAACGCGUGGGAACCUGCCCUUAGGUUCGGAAUAACUCCCCGAAAGGGGUGCUAAUACCGGAUAAUGUCUUCGGACCAAAGAUUUAUCGCCUUUGGAUGGGCCCGCGUUGGAUUAGCUAGUUGGUAGGGUAAAAGCCUACCAAGGCGACGAUCCAUAGCUGGUCUGAGAGGAUGAUCAGCCACACUGGGACUGAGACACGGCCCAGAAUCCUACGGGAGGCAGCAGUGGGGAAUAUUGGACAAUGGGCGAAAGCCUGAUCAAGCAAUGCCGCGUGAGUGAUGAAGGCCUUAGGGUUGUAAAGCUCUUUUACCCGGGAUGAUAAUGACAGUACCGGGAGAAUAAGCUCCGGCUAACUCCGUG